GAUGAACGCUAGCUACAGGCUUAACACAUGCAAGUCGAGGGGUAACAAGAGGAAAGCUUGCUUUCCUUGUUGACGACCGGCGCACGGGUGAGUAACGCGUAUCCAACCUGCCUAUAACUAGGGAAUAACCUUGCGAAAGUAAGACUAAUGCCCUAUGACUUCCUUUGGCGGCAUCAAAAAAGGAAUAAAGAUUUAUCGGUUAUAGAUGGGGAUGCGUCCGAUUAGCUUGUUGGCGGGGUAACGGCCCACCAAGGCAACGAUCAGUAGGGGUUCUGAGAGGAAGGUCCCCCACAUUGGAACUGAGACACGGUCCAAACUCCUACGGGAGGCAGCAGUGAGGAAUAUUGGUCAAUGGGCGGAAGCCUGAACCAGCCAAGUAGCGUGCAGGAUGACGGCCCUAUGGGUUGUAAACUGCUUUUAUACAGGAAUAAAGUUAGCCACGUGUGGUUAUUUGUAGGUACUGUAUGAAUAAGGACCGGCUAAUUCCGUGCCAGCAGCCGCAGUAA
rnacentral:rRNA from 1 species